CGAGACUCCUCUUCAUCUAAACAGGUUGUUCUCUAUUGUCUAUAUAUAGCGUGCCCUGGAGUAUCAUUGGUUAUCAACAACAGAAGUUUCAACUAAUCAGCUUACUAGGAUGAAGCCUGGAACGGUGGCACUGCUCAUUUUGUUGAACAUGAUGUGCAUAGUUGCAUACUUUGAUCAUGGAAGCUUUCCUGGAACGAUGGCCGAAGAAACCACCUUGCUGGCAAAUUCGUAUGGAAGAAAUGAAGGAACCAAGGGCAUACAUCGUGGAAGAAAGCUGAUGGACGCCGGUACUGAUUCAAACCGUGGGUUUUCUAUCAGUGAUAUGCGUCACAUAAUGAGCUCAGGCAACCCUCAUCCUUAGCUCCAGCUGGUUGCAUUCCCUAAAGUUCGUACAUGUAUAGCCUUCCACUCAUCAUAUGCUGGGUAUCCGACCUAUAGACACAUACGGUAUGUUGCAGAUCGAUCGCCAGGUUCUCAGAUCAAGUCCCUUGUAUUGUAUAUGAGUGGAAACCUAUCUAAAUAAUGUGUGUGGCUUCUAAAAUAUGUGGUGUUAUUGUACUGAGCUAUGCUCAAUACUAAACAAUAAAUUAUUGAAAUAUGUCCCGUGUGCGAUAAUAAUGUGA